UACGAGGGGAGCUAGCGUUAUUCGGAAUUACUGGGCGUAAAGCGCACGUAGGCGGCUUUGUAAGUUAGAGGUGAAAGCCCAGAGCUCAACUCUGGAAUAGCCUUUAAGACUGCAUCGCUUGAAUCCAGGAGAGGUGAGUGGAAUUCCGAGUGUAGAGGUGAAAUUCGUAGAUAUUCGGAAGAACACCAGUGGCGAAGGCGGCUGACUGGACAUGUAUUGACGCUGAGGUGCGAAAGCGUGGGGGAGCAAACAGG
rnacentral:rRNA from 1 species